rnacentral:rRNA from 1 species
AUUGAACGCUGGCGGCAGGCCUAACACAUGCAAGUCGAACGGUAACAGGGAUCAUCUUGCUGAUUCGCUGACGAGUGGCGGACGGGUGAGUAAUGUCUGGGAAACUGCCUGAUGGAGGGGGAUAACUACUGGAAACGGUAGCUAAUACCGCAUAACGUCGCAAGACCAAAGAGGGGGACCUUCGGGCCUCUUGCCAUCGGCUGUGCCCAGAUGGGAUUAGCUAGUAGGUGGGGUAACGGCUUACCUAGGCGACGAUCCCUAGCUGGUCUGAGAGGAUGACCAGCCACACUGGAACUGAGACACGGUCCAGACUCCUACGGGAGGCAGCAGUGGGGAAUAUUGCACAAUGGGCGCAAGCCUGAUGCAGCCAUGCCGCGUGUAUGAAGAAGGCCUUCGGGUUGUAAAGUACUUUCAGCGGGGAGGAAGGGAGUAAAGUUAAUACCUUUGCUUAUUGACGUUACCCGCAGAAGAAGCACCGGCUAACUCCGUG